GAUGAAGAACGUAGCGAAAUGCGAUAAGUAAUGUGAAUUGCAGAAUUCAGUGAAUCAUCGAAUCUUUGAACGCACAUUGCGCCCGCCAGUAUUCUGGCGGGCAUGCCUGUUCGAGCGUCAUUUCAACCAUCAAGCCCCCGGCUUGUGUUGGGGACCUGCGGCUGCCGCAGGCCCUGAAAAGCAGUGGCGGGCUCGCUGUCACACCGAGCGUAGUAGCAUACAUCUCGCUCUCGGCGUGCUGCGGGUUCCGGCCGUUAAACCACCUUCAUAACCCAAGGUUGACCUCGGAUCAGGUAGGAAGACCCGCUGAACUUAAGCAUAUCAAUAAGCGGAGGA
rnacentral:misc_RNA from 1 species